rnacentral:rRNA from 1 species
AUACGGAAGGCAGCAGUGGGGAAUAUUGGACAAUGGGCGCAAGCCUGAUCCAGCCAUGCCGCGUGGGUGAUGAAGGCCCUAGGGUUGUAAAGCCCUUUCGGCGGGGAAGAUAAUGACGGUACCCGCAGAAGAAGCCCCGGCUAACUUCGUGCCAGCAGCCGCGGUAAUACGAAGGGGGCUAGCGUUGCUCGGAAUCACUGGGCGUAAAGCGCACGUAGGCGGAUUGCUAAGUCAGGGGUGAAAUCCUGGAGCUCAACUCCAGAACUGCCUUUGAUACUGGUGAUCUUGAGUCCGGGAGAGGUGAGUGGAACUGCGAGUGUAGAGGUGAAAUUCGUAGAUAUUCGCAAGAACACCAGUGGCGAAGGCGGCUCACUGGCCCGGUACUGACGCUGAGGUGCGAAAGCGUGGGGAGCAAACAGGAUUAGAUACCCCGGUAGG